UUUGAUCAUGGCUCAGGACGAACGCUGGCGGCGUGCUUAACACAUGCUUGUCGAACGGGGCGAAGAGGAGCUUGCUCUUCCUAGCCUAGUGGCAAACGGGUGAGUAACGCGUAGGCAACCUGCCCUUCAGAUGGGGACAACAUUUCGAAAGGAAUGCUAAUACCGAAUGAUGUGCAUUGGUCGCAUGACCGAUGUACCAAAGGCCGGGCAACCGGUCACUGAAGGAUGGGCCUGCGUCUGAUUAGCUAGUUGGUGGGGUAACGGCUCACCAAGGCGACGAUCAGUAGCCGGUCUGAGAGGAUGAACGGCCACAUUGGGACUGAGACACGGCCCAAACUCCUACGGGAGGCAGCAGUGGGGAAUCUUCCGCAAUGGGCGCAAGCCUGACGGAGCAACGCCGCGUGAGUGAAGAAGGUUUUCGGAUCGUAAAGCUCUGUUGUCAGGGACGAGAGACUUGAUCAGGAAAUGGGUCAAGGAGGACGGUACCUGACGAGAAAGCCACGGCUAACUACGUGCCAGCAGCCGCGGUAAUACGUAGGUGGCGAGCGUUGUCCGGAAUUAUUGGGCGUAAAGGGAGCGCAGGUGGGAUUGUAAGUCAGUCUUAAAAGUUCGGGGCUCAACCCCGUGAUGGGAUUGAAACUAUAAUUCUUGAGUGCAGGAGAGGAAAGCGGAAUUCCUA
rnacentral:rRNA from 1 species